CAAACAAGGGAACAAACUUGAGGGACCAUAUAUGAACAAGGGGGAAAGUUAUGUUUUAUUAAAUAAAAUCACAACACACAACACACAUACAUCGUGUGUGUGUGCGUGGAAUGCUCUGGAGAAGAACAAAGGGGUGCAAACCCUAGUUCUUAAAGAAGUCCAAAUUGAAGGUUGAAUCCAAGCUCAAAAUCAUGAAUAAACACGAAUUAAUGCUCACCAUCACAAGAGGAUCAAAAGCAUUAGGGAUCAUGUGGAAAUGGACUCAAGCAAGAAAGACUAACGGGUCAAGAGGAGACAAGAAAGUGGAUACGAAAACGGACGCUCAAGGUUGUACGAAUGACAAAUUAUCAUCAUGAGGUGUAGCGAUCAAGGUCCGAGUUGCAAGAUAGAUUGUACGGGGAUCCUGGAGUAUGUAAAAUGAUAGACAUAAGUUAGACUUUCAUUUUGUAAAUGAGUACGA